rnacentral:rRNA from 1 species
CAGUAGCCGCGGUAAUACGAAGGGUGCAAGCGUUACUCGGAAUUACUGGGCGUAAAGCGUGCGUAGGUGGUGGUUUAAGUCCGUUGUGAAAGCCCUGGGCUCAACCUGGGAAUUGCAGUGGAUACUGGGUCACUAGAGUGUGGUAGAGGAUAGUGGAAUUUCCGGUGUAGCAGUGAAAUGCGUAGAGAUCGGAAGGAACAUCUGUGGCGAAGGCGACUAUCUGGGCCAACACUGACACUGAGGCACGAAAGCGUGGGGAGCAAACAGGAUUAGAUACCCCGGUAGUCCCUGUCUCUUAUAA